rnacentral:lncRNA from 1 species
CAGAAGAAGAGGAAGAGAGGCCUGAGCGAGCAUAUUAGCAUGCUCCACCCCCUUGCCACGUGAUGCCCUGUGCUGCCUCGGAACCUGCAGGGUCCCACCAGCAAGAAGGCCCUCAUCAGAUACGGCUCCUCAACUUUGGACCUCCAGCCUCCAUAACGACCCAACCUGUCUGCUGGCUAUGGACAUCCUCCCUUACCUUCACAUGUCACAUGGCAAGUGCCCUCUCCUGGUGAGGGGCAAGGGUGAGAUGGAGGGAGAAGCCCUGUUGAGCUGCUUGGCCAUGAACAGUUUGGGGGAACAGGAAGCUUGCCUUGACCUCGGGUCCAAGACUCCCUCCCUAGAGAUCUCAUCAAAUAACCAGGAAAGACCAACCAACAGAGAAGAGACUGGAAUCAUCUGCCCAGAAAGACUUUUCAUCUAUUCUUCUAAGGACAGCUCCAAGAGAUUACCUGGGGGACUUUGUAUAAAAAAUAAGACAACCUGUGUUCCUGUGCAGCUUCAUCCCUCAUCUUUCCCUAAGUGUCAAGAAGCAAUAGUUAGUCCACAAGCACGAGUGAAAUUACUGAACAAAAUUAAGAUGGAUACAGCACUCUAAAACACCCAUUUGAAUGCAUGUGAAAUCGACGACUUUCUCAAGCUCCACGACCCUCAAACUAGAACAAGACCUCUCCUCCUCCCUGACUCGCCAGCUUCCGAACCCUUGAACUACAACGACGGUUGAAACUUUGAAUGGAUUAAAGGAGAUCAGUGAGAGUACAGGAUGCUGCUGGUGAAACACGGGUUUGGAAUUACCUUCUGGAGAUUGGGGUUUCAGAAAACAGAAAAUCAAAGACAAGAAACAGAAUUACAGUAUAAAAUCCUUAGAUUUGAGCACAACUUUAUGGCUUACACAGGGUAGUCAGAUACGUUAUUUGUUCCUCCUUGCAACCUUAAGAGGUCAAAAUUUGGAUCAUUCCCAUUUAACAGAUAAGGAAACUGAGGGAACUAAAGCUUGAGGUUGUCAAGUAACUUCGCCAAGUAUACUCACCACAGACCCAGUGCUCUUUGAACUUGAACAUGUAUUCACCCAAUGCAUUAACACUGACCAGAAUCAAACUUUACUUCCCCAAAUAAGCAAGCCCAGAUAAAAACAAAUAGCAGAUUAGUCACAUGUACAAGCAUUGGGCAAUCAUAUGUAUCCAGGGUGGGCUACAUGCAAUGUGGUUGCUGCUGUGAAGGGUACACAGGUCCCAGAAUCACAGGUGCCUUCAUAUUAAAAAGGACCUUCGAGUUCAUCUACUCCAACCUCCACAUUUUACCUGAAUAAACUAAUGCUCAGAGAUACUAAGCAGCUUCCCAAGGUCAAACACAGCAAAUUAAAGUCAGCCAAGACUCAAGGCCUGGUUUCCAACAAGGCUGCCUUCUCAAGGAGUCCACAGUCUGGAGGACUAGACUAUAACAAGUCAUAAGACAGGAGUCAUCACAAGGGAAUACACAAUUAUUUGCAAAUGUCUCUUAUUGACAAGGAAAAGGCUGAUGCUUCAGGGAACAGAUGUUGCUGGACCCACUGACACAGCAUUACAUUUCUGAGCUAAGAGGCUGAGUCAACUGGACCCAUACAUUCUGUGCUUCCUGGUUUUGCAAUUGGAUUGAUUGAACUCUGCAGAAGCAGCCAUAAGGACAAUCUAAGGAAAUAAAGCAAUUGUGGCCCCGGGGAUCAAGAGCUCCAUUGAGUUGAGAGUCCUAGACAGCUGCCUCAGAGAACCAAAGGGUUUCCAUAUCAUUAGGUGAAGGAUACUCCCUUCUUUCAUACAGAAGCUGCUGUGGUGCCAGUCUUCCUAGGAAAUGUUCCUAGUGACCAGAAAAUGUCGAACAGGGUGAGGCUCAGUGCUGGAUCUUAGUCACUGAGCAUACCCUCCUCCUACCACUCUAUCCACUGACUAUUAACUAGCCUCCUAUCUCACCUUCCUGAGGCUGAGUUUACUCUCUAGGAGGAGGUUAAAAACCACAGAGAGAAGUUGGGUGUGGUGGCCUGUAGUGUCAGCUACUCGGAAGGCUGUGGUGGGAAGAUCGUUUGAGCCCAUGAGUUUGAGACCAGCCUGGGUAACAUAGCAAGACUCUGUCGCUAAAAAUAAAAACCACAAAACAAGGAAUUACUAAGAGACCUGGAGGGAAUGUAGGCCAUGUAGCCCAGAGAAGAAUUUCAGGAUCCAGAGUCAGACAAACAAACCCUUCCUCAAAUCUCAACCCUUCCAUUCCGAGGCUGAUUGACUUUAAGCAAAUCAUGUCUAUUCUCUGAGUGUCACGUUCCUCACCUGUGAAAUAACCACCAUCAUUGGGCUUUCAGGGAGGAGAAGGGGCAGAAAUGAUAUCAUUCAUGUCGAGCACCUAGUAAAAAGCCUAUACAUAUCACCA